GAUGCUGCAUUUACCUCCAUUCCUCAGACCAAAGACCUUUGCUCUGUCUCGAAGCUGUUUGCCUAGUUGCCUAGGAGCAGAGAAGCUAAGUCUGAUCUGUGUUGCUAUCAUGUAAUGUCUUGUGGGAACAGAAGCACUCUAGAUCCUGCAGUAUUGGAAACAAGCCUAGUUGGCAGGUCUCGUCCUUCUGUCUGCCAAACUGCAAUCUGUCUGGGAACUCUGGCUUCUCUUACACAUCCUUAUGUGAACACAGACCAUAUUUCUUUAACAUUUGUCAAUGGGAUUGUUCUGAGAAGAUGGAUUAUAUUUACAAACCACCCCCUACCCACGGAUGGAUUUUAAAUGCUACCCCAGACACAGAUCAUAUCCCAACACAAAUACACCAUCAGAUUAUCUUCAAACUCCAUGCUGGCCCUGGCCCCAGUGAAAGGCACUGGAAUGCACAUCAAUCACAAAUAUUCCCACUGAGAAAUACCCCAAGGGUCUAGAACAGAUGAAGAUAACAGAACAUGGAAUCUGUUAUUUCUGUGAUGACUACAUCAAAGGAAGGAUCCUUUCCAAUGUGUUGCUGAGUAGGAAAGCAGGCAAGAUUAAGAUUCUAUAUUUAAAAGGAACAAAUCACCGGAGGAGUUAUAUUGGCAAUUCAGUGCUGUAAAGACCUAGCUUUGUCUGUAGUAGAGGCCUUCUUAUGUGACAUCAAGUUGGCUUGACUUAUUGUGAUCUGUGUAGAGACCUACAGGAGACCCUGUUAUUAAUAGCCUUGUUUGUGUCUUAGAAACUAAGAGAGAUGGCUUCUUUGAUUGAGUCUGUCCACCAUGGCAGUCUUCCACUUUUCCUACUGCUUUCAGCUCUACUGAGCAUUAUCAUCUUUCCCAAUGAGUUGGGAAAUCAUGAUAUGUCCAAAGUGCAAUAGUCUCAGUUUAGUCAUUUCAGCUUCUUGGGAUAAUUCAGGCUUGUUCUUGGAAAUGUUUGUUUGCUUUUCAGUAACCUAUAUCAUCUACAGAACUCUCCUCCAGCACCACAUUUCAUAUGACUUGAUUUUCUUUCUGUCAGCUUUCUUCACUGUCCAGGUUUCACACAUAUAUAUAGUAAUCAGAAUUACCAUGACAGGGAUGAUCCUGAUUGUGGUAUUCAAUGAUGUAUCUUUGCACUUCAGGAUCUUAUCAAGUUCUUUGAUAGCUGCUCUUCCAAGUCUUGGUCUUCUUCUGAUUACCAGACGUACAUUACAUAAAAUAUGUAAGAUGCACCAGUACAAAAUGCAUAAAAUACACCAUUAACAUUUGAAUAAUAAUAAUAAUAAUUAAAAAAAACAGAAGCUUGAAUUCAGAGCUGGUCCAUUAAGCU